GUCAGGAUGGCUGAGUGACCUAAGGUGCCAGACUCAAGUUCUGGAGGCGAGGGUUCGAAUCCCACUUCUGACA
rnacentral:tRNA from 1 species